CCAAGGAGUCUAAUUAGGCAUCGAGUCGAUCAGUCUUGAUAGGCUAGAGAGAAAUAGUUUCGACUAUUUCAAUUGAAGGCGCAGAGAAAUCAAAUCAUGUGAUCAUUUAAGCAUACAACAGCUUUUAUGCGCAACAUGUGCCUGCUCAAUAUAGUAAUGUGCCUUAAAACACUUACUGGGCGGAGUAAAGAGAUGCUUGAUUGGUACCCGAAAGAUGGUGAACUAUGCUUGGGCAAAUUGAAGCCAGAGGAAACUCUGGUGGAGGAUUGUAGCGAUUCUGACGUGCAAAUCGAUCGUCAGACCUGAGUAUAGGGGCGAAAGACUAAUCGAACCAUC
rnacentral:rRNA from 1 species